AUGGAGGAGUGCGGCCACGGGACGUGGGAGCUCCGCUGCCCCGCGACGGUCUCGGAUGGAGGAGUGCGCACACGCGACGAGCUCUGCUACUCCGGCGACGGCCUCACAUGGAGGAGUUCGGCAGGUCCCGCGGCAUGCGUUGGUGGUUGCUGUGCGGGUCCCGCGGCGCCUGCGCUACUCCAUCAUCGGAAGGGCCUGCUCUUCUUCCGCCGCCGCCACGGUCCCUCUCGACGGAACUGGGCGGCGGGUGCUCGCGGCGACCAGCGGGGCUCCCCUUCGUCUCCAUGCGCGGCAGUGGCGCUCUCCCUUCAUCUUCGUGCGUGGCGGCAGCGGCGGCGGUGUGCGUGCGCACAGCAGAAGGAUGGUGCCGCGAGCAGUUUUGGCGGCGGGUUCGAUUCCGGCGAGGACAAGGAGGCCGCCACGCAUGGGGCUGCGCGGUCCGACGACGCUUCUACUACGCGAGCGAUUUGGGCUCGGCUCCACCCCCUGCAGCGGCCGGUGCUCCCGACGACUAUCGCCUCCUGCCGUGAGCCCGAGCUGCCGCUGCUACCGCCGCGCUCUUACUGCUGCUCGUCGCCACGCCAGGCCAACCUCCUCCCACUCCUCCCGCUGGCGCCACUGCCCUCCAUGGUGAGUCCAUCCCCUGCUAGAUACAUCCGGAGCGCUAGCCGUUGGCUGCUCUGCUCCAUCAGUGUCGCACUGCCCCCAAAAUUUGGCGCUCUGCAUUUGCUAACUGUUGCUGCUAACUGCUAUUUUGGUCCAUGUUCUGUAGCGUUGUUGCUGACUGAUGUGUGCUAG
rnacentral:rRNA from 1 species